rnacentral:rRNA from 1 species
AACGAACGCUGGCGGCAGGCUUAACACAUGCAAGUCGAGCGCCCCGCAAGGGGAGCGGCAAACGGGUGAGUAACGCGUGGGAACGUACCCUUUGCUACGGAAUAGCUCCGGGAAACUGGAAUUAAUACCGUAUGUGCCCUACGGGGGAAAGAUUUAUCGGCAAAGGAUCGGCCCGCGUUGGAUUAGCUAGUUGGUGGGGUAAUGGCCUACCAAGGCGACGAUCCAUAGCUGGUCUGAGAGGAUGAUCAGCCACAUUGGGACUGAGACACGGCCCAAACUCCUACGGGAGGCAGCAGUGGGGAAUAUUGGACAAUGGGCGCAAGCCUGAUCCAGUCAUGCCGCGUGAGUGAUGAAGGCCUUAGGGUUGUAAAGCUCUUUCACCGGAGAAGAUAAUGACGGUAUCCGGAGAAGAAGCCCCGGCUAACUUCGUGCCAGCCGCCGCAGUAAGAC